rnacentral:rRNA from 1 species
UACGUAGGGGGCAAGCGUUGUCCGGAAUCAUUGGGCGUAAAGAGCUCGUAGGCGGCUUGUUGCGUCGUCCGUGAAAACCUGUGGCUCAACUACAGGCUUGCGGUCGAUACGGGCGGGCUGGAGUUCGGUAGGGGAGACUGGAAUUCCUGGUGUAGCGGUGAAAUGCGCAGAUAUCAGGAGGAACACCGGUGGCGAAGGCGGGUCUCUGGGCCGAUACUGACGCUGAGGAGCGAAAGCGUGGGGAGCAAACAGG